rnacentral:rRNA from 1 species
UACGUAGGGGGCAAGCGUUGUCCGGAUUUAUUGGGCGUAAAGAGCGUGUAGGCGGUCAGGUAGGUCCGUUGUGAAAACUCGAGGCUCAACCUCGAGACGCCGAUGGAAACCAUCUGACUAGAGUCCGGAAGAGGAGAGUGGAAUUCCUGGUGUAGCGGUGAAAUGCGCAGAUAUCAGGAAGAACACCAGUGGCGAAGGCGGCUCACUGGACCGUUGUUGACGCUGAGGUGCGAAAGCGUGGGGAGCAAACAGG